CCGGGUCCUGCCCACUGCGGAGCGAGCGGAGCCGCCGGCGCCUCCCGCAGCGGCUUCUUGCUGCCUCCAGCUCUGCUCUUUAGGAGUUUAAGGGGGGUUCGGGAGAGGACGGAAGUGCUGAAGGUCUCUAGGACGGCAGUUGAAGACGGCACCUGAAUGGCAGUGGUGCCCGUGCCUUCGUGAUGCAGCGAAGGUGGCAGCCUGUGCGCCCUGACCCUGCUCACACUGUCCUCUUCAUGGGCGAGGCCAGACUGCAGAUUUUGCCCGCAGACGUCUUGCUACCAUACUAGAGGAUCUCUAAACUGGGUCCCUGUGACUACAGAACACAUGGAGAGACGUGGCCUUUCCGCAGGCCAACGUGCCAGAUUGUGGUAACGUGCUUGAUUUUCUGCUUCCCGGAACUUAACCUCAAAUUACCUUUCAAAGGGACAGAACUCGUUACUGGGAGAAAAGACUGAGUCUGUGCACUCCAGAUGUCCAGAACUACAUCCUUAUCUCCAUUCUGCCUUCACUCACCUCCUCUGGAACAUCACCAGUUUCUCAGCUUUUAGAUCAGACAUGUCGAGCAACUUGCCCUUCUCUUUGACGGCUGGGUGUUUGCGCACAAGCAGCCAACCCACGUGAGAGAAGAAAAAGCCACGUCUGGAAUUGUGAGGGUCAGCAUGUGUUUCUGAGAACUUGUGGUGGGCACGAUGGUCUCGGGCCCAUUCAUACACAUCAUUCUGGAGGACAAAGAAAAGGAAUACGGGCCUGAAGAGAGAUGACCUUCUACGCAAAUUCAGUGCCCAGAUGUCUGAAAAGGCUCAGGGCUCUCAGCCCAACCCUCACCUAGUCCCCAGGAGUCGGGCUCCAAAGGAGGCAUGGAAGAAUCACGCUCUUUUGCAUAUUUGCCCCAAAGUUUCUGUGGAAAAGACCUUUAUAAACACAGAGCAUAGAAA